rnacentral:rRNA from 1 species
UACAGAGGUCCCAAGCGUUGUUCGGAUUCACUGGGCGUAAAGGGUGCGUAGGCGGUCGGGUAAGUCUGACGUGAAAUCUUCAAGCUUAACUUGGAACUGCGUCGGAUACUAUUCGGCUAGAGGAAUGGAGGGGAGACUGGAAUACUUGGUGUAGCAGUGAAAUGCGUAGAUAUCAAGUGGAACACCAGUGGCGAAGGCGAGUCUCUGGACAUUUCCUGACGCUGAGGCACGAAAGCCAGGGGAGCAAACAGG